AUAUCAAUAAGCGGAGGAAAAGAAACCAACAGGGAUUGCCCCAGUAACGGCGAGUGAAGCGGCAACAGCUCAAAUUUGAAAUCUGGCCCCCAGGCCCGAGUUGUAAUUUGCAGAGGAUGCUUCUGGCGACGCGCCUUCCGAGUUCCCUGGAACGGGACGCCAUAGAGGGUGAGAGCCCCGUCCGGUCGUGCGCCUAGCCUGUGUGAAGCUCCUUCGACGAGUCGAGUAGUUUGGGAAUGCUGCUCUAAAUGGGAGGUAUACGUCUUCUAAAGCUAAAUACCGGCCAGAGACCGAUAGCGCACAAGUAGAGUGAUCGAAAGAUGAAAAGCACUUUGAAAAGAGGGUUAAAUAGUACGUGAAAUUGCUGAAAGGGAAGCGCUUAUGACCAGACUUGGGCCCGGUGAAUCACCAGCGUUCUCGCUGGUGCACUUUGCCGGCCCAGGCCAGCAUCAGUUCGUGCCGGGGGAUAAAGGCUUCGGGAAUGUAGCUCCCUCGGGAGUGUUAUAGACCGUUGCGUAAUACCCUGGCGCGGACUGAGGUACGCGUUCUGCAAGGAUGCUGCCGUAAUGGUCAUCAGUGACCCGUCUUGAAACACGGACCAAGGAGUCGUCUUUGUAUGCGAGUGUUCGGGUGUCAAACCCCUACGCGUAAUGAAAGUGAACGUAGGAGAGAGCUUCGGCGCAUCUCCGACCGAUCCUGAUGUUCUCGGAUGGAUUUGAGUAAGAGCAUACAGGGCCGGACCCGAAAGAAGGUGAACUAUGCCUGUAUAGGGUGAAGCCAGAGGAAACUCUGGUGGAGGCUCGCAGCGGUUCUGACGUGCAAAUCGAUCGUGAAAUAUGGGCAUGGGGGCGAAAGACUAAUCGAACC
rnacentral:rRNA from 1 species